GAUGAACGCUGGCGGCGUGCCUAAUACAUGCAAGUCGAGCGAACAGACGAGGAGCUUGCUCCUCUGACGUUAGCGGCGGACGGGUGAGUAACACGUGGAUAACCUACCUAUAAGACUGGGAUAACUUCGGGAAACCGGAGCUAAUACCGGAUAAUAUAUUGAACCGCAUGGUUCAAUAGUUAAAGACGGUUUUGCUGUCACUUAUAGAUGGAUCCGCGCCGCAUUAGCUAGUUGGUAAGGUAACGGCUUACCAAGGCAACGAUGCGUAGCCGACCUGAAAGGGUGAUCGGCCACACUGGAACUGAGACACGGUCCAGACUCCUACGGGAGGAAGCAGUAGGGAAUCUUCCGCGAUGGGCGAAAGCCUGACGGAGCAACGCCGCGUGAGUGAUGAAGGUCUUCGGAUCGUAAAACUCUGUUAUUAGGGAAGAACAAAUGUGUAAGUAACUAUGCACGUAUUGACGGUACCUAAUCAGAAAGCCACGGCUAACUACGUG
rnacentral:rRNA from 1 species